rnacentral:lncRNA from 1 species
AGAGGAGAUGUUCCACACCCACUGGGUCCGAAGCUCAUCUCGGCUUCUGGUCACACUCUUGCUGCUCACCUCUGCCAUUGUGUUUUGGGGUUCUAGUUGGAACUGAACUUCCUUCCUUUAACCCUAGCAGAUCCGAGUCUGAGAUGCCGGGAUGCUGGGAUGUUGUUGCCCCUGUGUACCGCUCGUGCAGAGGGAGACAAGCCUGAGGACCUGGAACUUGGGGCCCAUGUGCAUAUUUGCUGUAUGACCCUGGGCCAGUCCCCUUCACCCGUGGGCCUCUGUGUCCUCAAGAGAAUAUGUUGAAAGCCUUUCUCUGUAUGAAAUCAGAAAUGGGGAUGCCUUAGUUAGGGUUUUACUGCUGUGAACAGGCACCAUGACCAAGGCAACUCUUACAAGGACAACAUUUAGUUGGGGCUGGCUUACAGGUUCAGAGGUUCAGUUCAUUAUCAUCAGGGUGGGAACAUGGCAGCAUCCAGAAAGGAGAGGUGCAACAGGAACUGAGACUUCUACAUCUUCAUCAAAAGGCAAACAGGAAAAGACUAUCUCCCACCUUCCACAUAGUUAGGAGGAAGGUCCUAAACCCAUGCCCACAGUGACACACUUCCUCCAAGGCCACACCUCCAAAUAGUGCCACUCCCUGGGUCAAGCCUAUUCACACUACCACAGGGGAUCUACUUCUGUCUAUAUUAGAACUGGCCCCCUCGGUGCCCCCCAUUGUGAUUAUCUCCGUGUCUGAGAGUCUGCUAUUGCCGCUCCUGUGACUUGAGUA